AUAUUUACGCACAUAAUUUUUAUUCGAUUCUUAGUUAUAGUGUUAUACACAACGUUGAAAUUUGUACAAUUUUCGAAGAAAAAAUAAAUUCAUUUUAUUUUUGGUAACAGUAUACUUUUUCAAAACUAAACUAAAAUGGCCGAACAGUCGACGAAUUUGAAACUCUUGAACGAGCCAGAAUCCAAAGAAGCUGAAGUCAAGAAAGCUGAAGACGACAAAGCUGAAGACGACAAAGCUGAAGACGACAAAGCUGAAGACGACAAAGCUGAAGACGACAAAGCUGAAGACGACAAAGCGGAAGACGACAAAGCUGAAGUCGAAAAGGUGGAACCAACUCCAGAGCCUGACAGUACCUCUAAGGCAGAAGGGAUGGAAUCGCUACCUUCAUCUGCAAAUGCAGUGGGGUAAGGUUCCUUGGCUGGCAAUUUGGAGACGCGAAUGCAAAAUGUCCUGCAAAGACAGCAAGCAUUUUCCGGUCCACAUAGCAAAGAAAUCGAUGACAUCAAUGAGAUUCUAUUGCCAAAUAUGCUCUCCAAUUUGAAGGCAUACAAUGCAAUUUAUGAGGAGGUGCGUAAAAUGGAUGCAGCCAUGAAAUCGAAUCUUACCAAUGCAGCUGCCAUCGAUCAAGACAUGGGAAAUAUAUAUCUUGAUCUGCAUGAAACAUAUCGUAAAUUGGAACGCAUUGAUUCGGUCAAGAUGGAGUAUUCAAUGCGGGAAAUACUUAAGAAAAAAGUACGCGAAUCUGAGGAGUUGCAAUAGCGUAAUCGUCACUAUGUAAUGAAACGAUGUUUUCGAACCCCAACCAACGGCGUAUGUCAGGUUGUGAUCCGCCUCCGGAGGUCGUAGAGAAUGCUGAGAAACGCACUUUUUUGACCAAUAUGUUAGCCGUUAAGAAGUCGGAGUUCUCAAUUCAGCUUAAUCGAAGGAACAAGUAUUUCCAUGAAGUUGAAAAGGUAUUAAAAAUGAAGUCAGAAAAGUUGGAAAAGAAGGACGAAAUCAAAGCAAGAUGGUACUGAGAAUUAAUAAUUUCAAUUAUAUAGUAAGAGAAGUUGGUUUACUAUGUCCUUUAUAUAUAUUUGACAUUCAAAAUUGUACAAAAUUAACACUUCAUAUUUUAAACAAAAUAUGUAAAGUUAUUAAAAAGUGUAUUAGUGGACCAACCAGAAAAGAACCUUUUUAACAAUACUUCAUAAUGGUGUAUCGCUUCAAAAUGCCAAGUUUUGCGAACUCAAUCUUCGCCCUCAUCCUUCAAACCAGUCACAUAAAUCGAAGCAUUUAUUGUCACCAACUGGGCCUAGAUGGGCUGAAUAAAGUGAAUGAGUGGGUGUGGCUGGUUGGGGCUGCACAUGAACCAUUCAUGAAACGAUUUGGCACAAAUGCAAAUUGGGCAAAUCCCUACAACAAACAAAAAUCCCUCCCGUUAAAAUACACACAGGCAUGGCACAAAAUGCGCCAACUAAACAAUGUAAAAUGUUAAAUAAUUAUUUAAAACAGUUGGAAAAACUCCUGUUCUGGGCUUGGCAACGGUGUGUCAGAUGACAAAAAAUGUUAACUGUUUACUUUUUGGCAAAUUUAUGGCCUAAUGCAGCUGGCACUGGCAAGAAAAAAAUUCCAUUCCUGCUCAACCCUCAACACGCUGUUAGGAAAUACGACAAGAAAAAAUGUGUUAACAGUAGUGGAAAAUAUUUGCUGGUUCGACAAAAAUAUAAUAUACAAAUAUACAUAUAUUGAUUAGUUAAUAUAAAGAGAGAGCUAAGAGAA